UGCAGAACUGCCAUGUUGAGCGGAGGAGGGGAGCAAGGAGAGCAGCUGUCCUGAUGGCCAGGUGUGGCCGUGCCACACACAGCUCUGACCACGAGGCUUGUCUUAAGUACCAGCUACAAGACUACACGUGCAGAAGGACAGGAGGGCUGGUUCUCUGUUCCCUCAAGAAGCUCCAGGCCUCUGAAUGAAACAGAUCACACCUAGCGAUCCUCAGCCCGCAUUCUCCAGAUGAGGUGGGCAACUUGCAGGGGAGUUUCCCAUUGCCUUUGCUUCUCCUGUUUCACGUGCAUGAAGUGGCAGCAGAGAGAGACAGAGAGACGGAGAGAGCCUUCUUUCCAUACCUGCCCACCCUCCGAGGCCUCCAGAGGCAGCUCCUCAGCAGGUGUUCCCUGACACUCACGCAGCCAGUAGGAAUGACCUCUCCCUCUGACAGCCCACUCUCUGACCUCUACCACGUGACCUCUCACCUGCACUGAUUUACAAACUGUGCGACAGAAUCCCUCACAUAAGUUGAAAGGAUGAUAAGCCAAUUUAAAUCACAGCCUUCUACUAAGAGAAUAGUUUUGCAGCUCCUGGACCUGAGGGCUGGACCUCUGCCGUCACACACUCCUGAACCUCUGCUGUCGUGCAGUCCCUGGAUUUCCAAUGUUAACACAUUUGCUGAGCAAACGUUUAUUGAGCUGCAGCGAUACUGCAGGCGCCCGGGUGGUGAACCAGGAGGAAAAGAUAAACCGCGUGUGAGCCUUCCUCUGGAGAAGACAGAUAGCCCAAUAACAACAGCAGCAACGAGAAAACCCACAGGAGAUUCUCAGAACUGGGAGAGUGAGUAGCCACGAAAAUAUAAGCUGCCUGUGGCCUCCCUGAACAUCAGGAAAAGGGAAUGGAAACGGCAGUGGGACAGCGUUUCAUAUCCAUCCACUUGGCCAGUGUUAGAAGGCGCGACGGUCCUGAAAGCUGACCGCAGAGUGGAGAAAGGGGCAACCUCAGACAGUGGCAGUGCAUGGUGGAACUCCCAGCAGGAGCCGCCUGCAUCGUGCCGGAGGCUCUGCUCCUGUGUUUGAGCCACGCUCCUGCACACGUCAGCCCAAGGAGAUGCAUCCAGGACUGCAGCUCUGCUCAUGGGAAACCUGGGCCCAGCCUCCAGAGAAACCCUUCCCCUCUGGGGCGCACUUGUACGGAAGGAAUGAAACGCAGCAUGAUGUGCUGUAACAGAGAGAUACCGUGAAUCUUAUGGGAGACAGAGCACAGCUGAUAACUGGGUGAGGAAGAGCAGAGGGUGUUUCGAGGAGAAAAGGAAAGAAGAGUGUCCCAGCAUGGCCAGCCUAUGGUGGAGGAAAGAGCACGUGUGGAUGGGCGUCCUGGGAGGCUGAGGUACUGGGAUAUGCGGGGGGUUGGGGAGGUCAGAUAAGGGGUCAUGUUAGGAGCACAUGGAAGCUUGAGCUCCCCCGGAAGAGUUCCAGCCUUCCCUGUAGCUUCCAUACGUACAAUCCCCAGACCGUCGUUUAAGAGAAACAGCGCUGGGGGUGGUGUGGAUGGAGCAAGCCCAGCUGGUGGAUGUGGGCCCUGGUCCCAGACCGGUGGAAGUGAGAAUGGAGGGCAGAAACAACCGGGUUUUUUGGAAGAGUAGUUGGCAGCACUUGGACCUCUUUCUGCGGUAAGCGAACUGUCUGCGAUGACUGCCCUGGUGUCUCUAAAGAAAAUCACAAACGUGGAGGGUUACGCCAGAUUUGAAGACUCCAGAAAGACAAAACCAGCAACGCACGAAUGUUGAUUAGAUGCUGCUUCAGGGGGGAAAAAAGAAAACUGUAAUAGACGUUCUGGAGCUAUUUGGGGAAAUUUGAAUAUGGCAGAAUAGUAGAUAAUAUUAGGAAAUUACUGUGUAUUUUUUAUGUAUGAUAAUGUCAUUUUGGUUAGGUAAAAGAAUGCCUUUAUCCUCAGGAGAUGUGUGUUGAAAUAGUUAGGUUAUGAGCUGUGUAGUUUAAAGUUUCAAGUGGUUCAGAAAAAAGAGAA